rfam:Gossypium hirsutum cultivar TM-1 chromosome 3, whole genome shotgun sequence
ACGACCUUACUUGAACAGGAUCUGUUCUAUAGGCUCGUACCUCUGUGUCCUUCAGUUCAAAGGAGACAGGAUUCCAAGUCUGGUUGAUGAACCAGGACUGUGUGACCUGAGCGUGAUUAUUGGUCUGGUGAUUCCCUUGCUGGUUUCACUUCGACCGCAGAGGAUCGUUCUCAGCUUGCCUUGCGCGGCUGGGAAGGUCACGCAGUUGUCUGACAGACU